CCCUUUGGCUGCGCCCGCGGAGCAGCCCCGUUGCGAUUGGCCGUACGCGGGGGGCGGUAGUCCCGUGUCCGCCCGCCCCUCGGGCCUCGAGAGGCGCCGGGAUCGUGGGCGCGGGCUGAGCCAGCGGCUGCUGGGUGGCUGUGUCCGCAAGCCGGCGGGGCGAGGCGGCCCGGCCCAGCGCGUCAGGCCUGAGAACUGGGAGGAAGCUGGAGAAAAGAUGCCCUCUGAAUCUUUCUGUUUGGCUGCCCAGGCUUGACUUGACUCCAAAUGGUUGCAAACAGAUAUACAGAUGAUAGUGUUGAACAAAGUGGAACAAAGAAAGAAGAUCUGGAUGACAGAAAAAAGAUGAAGAAGAAACUCCUACACCUGUAUAUAGCGCCAAGUGAAUUCUGGACAGCUGGGUAUGGGGCAAGCAACCAGCAACCACUUUUCAAAAAGAAGAAAGAUGAGAGCAAGAUUAAGAGAAGGACGAGGAGGAGAAAGAAGGAAGCAUGUUUAUUUUCUGCAAUCUAUAAAAGCACACAGUUCAUCCAGAAAUUGCAGAAUUGCAGAGGAUUAGAUAGACAUCAUUCUGAAAGUCUUCCUUAUAGCGAUGGAGUCUUACUACCUUGCAAAGGCUGGUCUCAAACUCCUGGACUCAAGUGGUCCCUCUGCCUUGCCCAGCGCAAAGCUCAUUUUUAAUGAACACAGGAAGAAAAUAUGACAAAUAUAAAAUAAGUAGAACACCCCUGAAAAGCAAAGGGAAGCUUGGCAGAGGGAGGAGACAAGGAAUGGGCCCUCUGAAGCAACGAAGAUCUGUCUUCCAGUGAUACUUAAAACAGCUGAACUAUUCUUCUGUUUUACAUUCUGCUUUGACAGCAAGCCUGCUCUGCAGAGAAAGAGAGAGAGAGAUCAUUUCUUAAUGCCGAAUACAGCAGAACAGUAGUUAAAAUGAUAAAUUUAUUGGGGGGGGGCAGAUUUUUGAGGAGUAAUGAAAAAAAGGCAAGUCACAUUUCUGCAUUUGGUUUUCAUUUACGUCUAUUUUGCUGCUUUAAGUAAAUUGAGUGAUUUGUUUGGACGGAGAAAGUAUUUUAAAAAGACUUUGUUCAGACUCAUAGUAAAUAAUUGUGACUUCCAAUUUUCAAUUCUAAAUCUUAUAAAAUGUAGCUCCACCAAGUUCGUUUAACAUCAUACCAACGCAUAAAAAUAAAGCUUGUAAAAAUACAAUAUAGGCAUUGGCUCUGAGUUAGCAGUUGCUAAUUAAACAUAUUUUCGCUUCCUGGUUCUGGUGAUCCAACAGACCAAAUGUGGUAGACAAACUUUGUUCCACAGCUUUGAAGUCUUCUCUCUAGUUUCCCCCAACUUAGAAAAAAUAUACUAUUUAUAAAAGUGCAUGAAUUGUAAUUUAAGUUAAAAAAAAGCCUUGAAAUUUUUAUCAAAAGUGUUCAAAUUACUCUCUCCCCAGGUCAGUUAAUGAGUUGUCAGGAGCUGGCCCCUUACUGUAGUGCACCUCCUGCAGACUAAGACAGUUAACUAUGUUUUCAUCAAAGGAAAUGCUCAUUAGUAGAGCUUUCAGAAACUGAUUUGAUUAUAGUUUCACUUGCUAAAGUGAAAUAUUCUGAGCUCAUUAGGAUGAUUAUGAUUCAAGGUCAUUGUUUGAAGCCAGUCCUGUCAAUAUAAGAGAAAUGGGCCCUCAUCUUUUUCCCUUCUUUACGUCUGUGCUUUUUAAACUCUUCUGUGUAAAAGUUCCACAGCCAUAAUUAAUUUUUAGUUCUUCUGUUACAAAGCUGCUUAAAAGAAAAGAACAAAGAUUUUGGCUACCAAAAAGGCCUUGAAGAACUAUUAAGGGGUGGAGGAGGCUAUCUUGUUUUAGAAAAAUCAGAGAAAAACCUUGAAAAGUUCAGCUUUUGAUAUCCAGCUAUUUUCUCCUUGACCUUUCCAAAGUUUCAAAAUGGUACUUUGUACAUAAUUUUGCAUGUACCCUUUCAUCUCAAAAGUAUAAAACUAACUGAAAACCACCCAAGAACUACCAGUGGCUUAAUUAAACAUCUCCUCUUUUAUGGCACAAGAUGGAGUUAACACCUUUUAAAGUUCUUUCUUUUUUUUCUUUUCUAAAUCCAGCACUUAAAUCUCUGAGUGUUAAAGAGCCAGUUAGACAUUAAGGGAGGUGAAGUUAACUUCUAUUAGCCAGUCAUUCUAACAUGAGUUUGCCCCUUAAACUUCCUUGGUCAAAUAUUACCUUUUCCUUUAACACUAAGGAGAGGUUACAAUGAAAGUAGAGCUUGUUUUUUGGGUUUUUUUAAACCUCCUGUAUGUUAUAUUUUGGAAAAAUGUUUUAAUCUUUCAGACAUUUGGCUCUUCAAUACCUUUUACUAGGAUUCAAGGCUACACUGAACUUGAGAGUAGAUGACAUUUAAAAAGUUACAAUCGAUUUGAUCUUUUUACAUAAUUCAUUAUUUUUAAAAUUGUUUUUCUCACUUUUGUGGACAACUGAUGAUUCAAACUAAUCUCUGGUUUUCAAUAAUGCACUUUCACAAUUAUUUCUAAACAAAUGAUUUUAGCUUUUAAGAUAUUGUUUAAUAACCAGAAAUGUUAGUAUCCAAACGUGCAAUACUGUGAAACUGAAUCAAAGGUUGCUCAAUAUAUAAUUAUUUAAGAACAGACAUGAACCUUGAAGCAAUUAUUUGUUUAUUGUCACAUGUACCUAAGGGCCUCUUCUACCAUGAAAUUUAGAAUAUAAUUAUGAAAAUAAGUUUAUGUCCGUGGUAUGCUUUCCCGAAAGUCUCUUAUAUACCAAAUUAAACUAUGCAUAUUUAAAAAAAAAAACUAAAGCACACAAUAUGUAGUGACUAAUAGAAAUAAUAGGGGAAAUGUACUUCAGUAGCAAUAUAGUGCCAGAGUGUAUGGUUGCAACUGCAGAAGAUAGCUUGAGUGUAUUAAGCUCCUUCAAAAUGUGAUGAGAGAAUGAUGUAUUAGGAGGAUCCCAGAGGCAUCUACAGUGAAUUAGCAGAGUAUCAAUUUCAAAUUUCUUUCCCAAAUUGCUUUGAAGACUAUUCUUGUAUUAAAGAAAAAAAAUCAUGGCAUUUGUUAAGACAAUAAGAAAGAUUUUAUUCAAAGGGUGGUAUUACAAUAGGCAUAGGGAUCACUGAAAGGGGAUUUUUCAGUAAGAGAAAGAGAUUGUUUUAGGUCUAACAUUUAAGUCUUUAAUCCAUCUUGAAUUAAGUUUUGUAUAAGGUGUAAGGAAGGGAUCCAGUUUCAGCUUUCUACAUAUGGCUAGCCAGUUUUCCCAGCAUCAUUUAUUAAAUAGGGAAUCCUUUCCCCAUUUCUUGUUUUUUUCAGGUUUGUCAAAGAUCAGAUGGUUGUAGAUGUGUAGUAUUAUUUCUGAGGGCUCUAUUCUGUUCCACUGGUCUGUAUCUCUGUUUUGGUACCAGUACCAUGCGGUUUUGGUUACUGUAGCCUUGUAGUAUAGUUUAAAGUCAGGUAGCAUGAUGCCUCCAGCUUUGUUCUUUUGGCUUAGGAUUGUCUUGGCAAUGCGGGCUCUUUUUUGGCCAUAGGCAUGGGCAAGGACUUCAUGUCUAAAACACCAAAAGCAAUGGCAACAAAAGCCAAAAUUGACAAAUGGGAUCCAAUUAAAGAGCUUCUGCACAGCAAAAGAAACUACCAUUAGAGUGAACAGGCAACCUACAGAAUGGGAGAAAAUUUUUACAAUCUACUCAUCUGACAAAGGGCUAAUAUCCAGAAUCUCCAAAGAACUUAAACAAAUUUACAAGAAAAAAAUCAAAAACCCCAUCAGAAAGUGGACAAAGGAUAUGAACAGACACUUCUCAAAAGAAGACAUUUAUGCAGCCAAAAGACACAUGAAAAAAUGCUCAUCAUCACUGGCCAUCAGAGAAAUGCAAAUCAAAACCGCAAUGAGAUACCAUCUCACACCAGUUAGAAUGGCAAUCAUUAAAAAGUCAGGAAACAAGAGGUGCUGGAGAGGAUGUGGAGAAAUAGGAACACUUUUACACUGUUGGUGGGACUGUGAACUAGUUCAACCAUUGUGGAAGACAGUGUGGUGAUUCCUCAAGGAUCUAGAACUAGAAAUACCAUUUGACCCAGCAGUCCCAUUACUGGGCAUAUACUCAAAGGAUUAUAAAUCAUGCUGCUCUAAAGACACAUGCACACGUAUGUUUAUUGCGGCACUAUUCACAAUAGCAAAGACUUGGAACCAACCCAAAUGUCCAUCAUGAUAGACUGGAUUAAGAAAAUGUGGCACAUAUACACCAUGGAAUACUAUGCAGCCAUAAAAAAUGAUGAGUUCGUGUCCUUGGUAUGAACAUGGAUGAAGAUGGAAACCAUCAUUCUGAGCAAACUAUCCCAAGGGCAGGAAAACAAACACCACAUGGUCUCACUCAUAGGUGGGAAUUGAACAAUGAGAACACUUGGACACAGGGUGGGGAACAUCACAGGGUGGGGACUGUCGUGGAGUGGGGGGAGACAGGAGGGAUAGCAUUAGGAGAUAUACCUAAUGUAAAUGAUGAGUUAACGGGUGCAGCACACCAACAUGGCACAUGUAUACAUAUGUAACAAACCUGCACGUUGUUCACAUGUACCCUAGAACUUAAAGUAUAAUAAAAAAAAAAAGAGAGAGAUUGGACUCAAUUUCAAAUACUGCAUGAAUUAGGGGGAAUUUAUAGCCAAGGAGCAGGGUGUGGGUCAGUAGGUGAAAAGUAAUUAAGAGGAAACAUCAUAGUGAAGAGAGAAUGCUGGCUAAACCGACUUAGCAGAAUUUUUGCUGAAGACAGGGCAGGGCGAACAGACAUCACCUUGGAGAUGGUGGAGGAUAAGGAACCAAAUUAGACAUGGAGGGUGACUAGAUAGCAAGGGUGAGAGGUUCUGGUAAACUGACUUAGCAGGAUUCCUGCUACAAUUGGACAGUACAGAGGUAAACAUGGAAGUCCAAAACUCAGGCCUAGUUGAAAAAGUUCAGGGGAGCCAGAGUAGAGUUCAGUCAAGGAAAGGAUCUUUGUUCCUUGUGUCUGUCUUUUGUCCUCAUCCCCACUUUUAACUGUGACAUCAUAUUAUUUCCUAAUUAGCCCUUAUCACAGUCGGUAAGCAUUGCGUUUGUUUGUUUGUUUGUUUAUCAUAUAUCUCUUUCAAGUAAGAUUUUAACUCCCCAAGGGCAGAAAAAUAAUCUAUUUUGGUCACUGAUACAUCCCCAUUGCCCAGCACCAAAUCUAUGGAAAGUAGGCACUCGGAUUCAUUUGUUAAAUGAAUUAAUAAAUAAAACCACAGAUCAAUUUUUUAUUUGGUCUUUGCAUUUUGGGUCUUCUUUGCAUCUUGCAUUAAAAUGAAUCUCCUUGAGCACAUAGACUCAAUUGACUUCUUACUCAAAUACUCUAGACAAGAGAUAAUGAAAACUUGUUCCACGGUAGGGACAGUGGGACUGGAUAAGAGAAGAAUAUGUAAGAGGUAAUUAAGAAUGAGGGACAAAAAAUUUUGAGAAACUAUUGGCUGAGAGCUGGAGGGAGAGGAAGGAUAAAAUGAUGAACCUCAGUUGUCUGCCUUGGACUACAGGGUGGGAAAUGAUCCAUUGAUUAAAAUUAUGAACAACAUGACAAAAGUCAUGGUGGUAGUGUGUGGUCGCAUAAGACAAUUAGUUCUAUUUUAAAAUUACAAGAUUGAUUUUGAGAAGUUUCUGGAAUUAUAAGUGUUCUUUGCUAACAGUGUUGAAACUCUCCAAUGUGCCUAAAAAAGUAAAGUAUUCAAAGCGAAAGCAGGAUUUUUACUUCUGGAAAGAUAAAGUCAUGUGAUUAAAAAAAAAAAAGAGGAGGGAAUAAAAGUGGAAGAAGAGAGAAUGGCAAAUAUGGAAAAAUAACUCAUUUAUUUCUUAGGGUAAAAGUUAUUCCUAGGCACCAUUUUGAAUUAGCUGACAUUCGAAACUGUUCCACUUUAUUUUUCACAUUUUUAUUUUAUGUUUGUUACCUCUCAUCCUGAAUAACCCAUUUCAUCAUGCUACAGUAAGUUCCCACACACAUACUCCUCACCCUAGCAAUUUAUCAGAACAUCCUGGUUCUCAGGCAUUCUGGGCUUCAUCUCUUAUUUCAUUCUCUGUUUUAUAUAUACAACCAAAUAUCUCAUUGUCUUAGUGUAUCUAACUUCUCUCAAUUUGUUAACAGUGUAGCAGUCAUGUUUAUAAUUCACCCUAAAAUAUGUAUAAACAACUUCUACAGGCACUGAUAAUAACAACAACAACAAUAAUAAUAGUACCUAGUUUAAGUAGAGUGAUGUCACUGGGUAAAGUCCCUUGGCGGUCUGCCAGAGACUUCACUGGGCAGGUAACUUUGUAAAUUUGCUACAGACCAAAGUCACCUUGGUAGCAAAGUGAAUAUCUUAUAUUUGGGCUCUCACAAUUCAGAUCAUUAGAUUGAGACAUGUCAAAAUACCAAUGACAUAAAAGAGUAAUGCAAGUAUGAAUGUUUGUGUUUGGGUAGUCAGCCUAUCUUCUUUCUACCUGUACUUAGUACUACACUGAAAGCUAAACUGUAAUUAGAAGAUAGUUUGGAGGCUAAGGAAUCAGAAUAAAGGGAGAUUUUCAACUUAAUUGAAUGGUAAAUGACAUUGGGUUAUGGAAGCUCAAUACAUCAUUUCCCAAUAUAUCUUUUGUCUCAGAUUUCUGAUUGUUACAGUGUCAGAAAAAUCUAUGCAUAAAAAUUGAAAAAAAUUGGCCACAAUGGGAAAGCAUUUCCAAGCAGAGGAGCUGCAAUGAGGAUGAGUAAUUCUGCCUGAGGGCUACUUCCCACUCCACCACAUCCCCAUUGGUCUGUUCCCCAUGCUUGCCCUUUUUGAGGCCUUAUAGGCAUUCACCUCUUCUUUCCAUUUAGACUAAUUGACAGCUGCCAUCAUUUGUGGUAGUCUCCUUCUGCUGUGUGUCCUUAAAGUUUUCUAUUAAUACUUAGAAUUAACCUCUCAUCUUUAUCUCUAAAGAGAACAUACGGGUUGAUUGUUGUUUUUGUAAGAUUUAUUGGCAAUGAAUUCAUAUCCCUUUAAUAUUUUUGUUUCCCCUGCAGAAAGAUGAGCAGUCAAAUCUGAAAAUUGUUUAUUUGAUUGAAAUAGCAUUGUAAAAUUUAUACUCUUUGAGUUAACAUGUGCACUUUUUAACAAUUCUUUUCAAAUUAUGAGAGAAGAUAGUGUUUUUUUAAUCUUAAAAAAUGACUUUACAUAAACAAUAAGAAAGACUCCUGGCCAUAAUCUUGGUGAUGUGUGAGGAUACUGCUGUUUCUACAUAAAUACAUCUAUUAAAAUACAUCUUUAGUAUAACUAUGAAAAAGAAACUUAGUGCCAAGGCCAGGAACAAACAAGCAAAGAUAAUAAAGUUGGUGGAAAGGCAACUUAAGAAAACAGCAUAUGCAAAGGUAUGGGAGCAAAACAGAGCAGAGCAUUUUCAAUAGCCAAAGGGAACUGAGUGUGAGGGUGAAGAAAGGGUG